AGAGAAUAGAUACCCGGGUAGUCCCAGCCGUAAACGAUGCUCGCUAGGUGUCAGGCAUGGCGCGACCGUGUCUGGUGCCGCAGGGAAGCCGUGAAGCGAGCCACCUGGGAAGUACGGCCGCAAGGCUGAAACUUAAAGGAAUUGGCGGGGAGCACAACAACGGUGGAGCCUGCGGUUAAUUGGACUCAACGCCGGACAACUCACCGGGGCGGACAGCAAUAAUGUAGGCCGAACGCUGAAGAACUUUGUCCUCGAAUACGCUGAGAGGAGGUGCAUGGCCGUCGCCACGUUCGUACUGUGAAGCAUCCUGUUAA
rnacentral:rRNA from 1 species